UCCAAGAUCUGAGCUCUAACUUCAUCCCCUUUGACGAUGAUGAAGAGGAGGUGGAAGAAGAGGAAGAGACAUAUGAUGACAUUGAACGAGCUACCACACCACCACCACCACGUCCUGGGCCAGCAUCUGCUCCAGUUACAACCCCGAGUCUGGGACAAACCCCCCAAAGCAGCCGCAAGGAAUGGAAGGACCAAGCAGAGGCUCAGGAAGAUGAAGAAGAGGAUGAAGAGGACAUUUAUGAAGUGCUUCCAGAUGAUGAAAAUACUGACAAUGCUGAAGAGUGGAGUGAAAAGCCUGGGUCUUCAGAUUAUGCAAAUUAUUACCAAGGCUUGUGGGAUUGUGAAGCUGAUAGACCUGAUGAGUUGGCCUUCCAGAGAGGAGAUGUCAUCCACAUCCUCAGCAAGGGGCUGUAAACCAGGAAUCUUAGAUGCCAGUCGAGACAAGGUCCAACCUACUUUUAACAUCCAGAUGCUCCAUCAGUAUGGCUGUGGACACUACUGC
rnacentral:lncRNA from 1 species